CUGGCCAGACCCUCCCUCCUCCUCCUCUCCUCCGCCCCAACUAGCCGCUCCACGCCUCGCUGCUCGUUCCCACUUCGCCAUACUCGCUACCUGCCUCGACCUCCUCAACUGCCCUCUUUCUCAAGUUUCCUCUUCGCCGUAGCCGUAACCCCCAAGUCAUGGCUUCGAACAAAUUGAGAGUGUCUACAUCUACGAUUCCUUCAAUAUGGUGAAAAGCUAGCAGAGCAUUUUUCACCUCAAACGGGCUUGACAUCGAACUCAUCCAGUAGUCCUUGUCGCUCCACGCUCCCUGAUCGCCGUUGCUCCCCACUACAAUUACUUGUAGCAGUAGUCGUAGCCCCCAAGCCAUGGCUUCGAACAAAAGGAAGGGAUCGUCAUCCUCGAUUUCUUCAAAAUCAAAGUCUUCCUCUAAAUGCAAGAAUCCUCUUUCAUCGUGUUUGAAGGAACUUCCGGCAUUGAUGACAAGUACACUACUGUGCAAUUUACUGGGGAGAUAAUGAACUAUUCCAGCUAUUGUUAUUUCGUCAUAUCUUUGGUCCAAGUCAUUCUCAUGUUUAAUAAGUUUUUAUGAAUUUUCAUAUUGCAGUUUUUUUGUUCAGUAUAAAUAUGGGUGAACUACAACAAUUAUAUCACU